rnacentral:rRNA from 1 species
AGCGAACGCUGGCGGCAGGCUUAACACAUGCAAGUCGAGCGGGCGUAGCAAUACGUCAGCGGCAGACGGGUGAGUAACGCGUGGGAACGUACCUUUUGGUUCGGAACAACACAGGGAAACUUGUGCUAAUACCGGAUAAGCCCUUACGGGGAAAGAUUUAUCGCCGAAAGAUCGGCCCGCGUCCGAUUAGCUAGUUGGUGAGGUAACGGCUCACCAAGGCGACGAUCAGUAGCUGGUCUGAGAGGAUGAUCAGCCACAUUGGGACUGAGACACGGCCCAAACUCCUACGGGAGGCAGCAGUGGGGAAUAUUGGACAAUGGGGGCAACCCUGAUCCAGCCAUGCCGCGUGAGUGAUGAAGGCCCUAGGGUUGUAAAGCUCUUUUGGGCGGGAAGAUAAUGACGGUACCGCAAGAAUAAGCCCCGGCUAACUUCGU